CAGCCGCCGCGGUAAAACGAGGGGGGCAAGCGUUGUUCGGAAUUAUUGGGCGUAAAGGGCGCGUAGGCGGUUUGGCAAGUUUGGUGUGAAAUCUUCGGGCUCAACUCGAAGUCUGCAUCGAAAACUGCCGGGCUUGAGUAUGGGAGAGGUGAGUGGAAUUCCCGGUGUAGCGGUGAAAUGCGUAGAUAUCGGAAGGAACACCUGUGGCGAAAGCGGCUCACUGGACCAUUACUGACGCUGAGGCGCGAAAGCUAGGGGAGCAAACAGGAUUAGAUACCCCAGUAGUCCCUGUCUCUUAUAA
rnacentral:rRNA from 1 species